rnacentral:rRNA from 1 species
UUUUCCUACGGGGGGCAGCAGUGGGGAAUAUUGCACAAUGGGGGAAACCCUGAUGCAGCAACGCCGCGUGAGUGAAGAAGUCAUUCGUGAUGUAAACUUCUAUCAGCAGGGAAGAAAAUGACGGUACCUGACUAAGAAGCCCCGGCUAACUACGUGCCAGCAGCCGCGGUAAUACGUAGGGGGCAAGCGUUAUCCGGAUUUACUGGGUGUAAAGGGAGCGUAGGCGGUGCAGCAAGUCAGAAGUGAAAGCCCGGGGCUCAACUCCGGGACUGCUUUUGAAACUGUUGAACUAGAUUGCAG